GGGAGCUUGCUCCCUGGAUUCAGCGGCGGACGGGUGAGUAACACGUGGGCAACCUGCCUGUAAGACUGGGAUAACUCCGGGAAACCGGGGCUAAUACCGGGUAAUCGACGGAACCGCAUGGUUCUGUUGUAAAAGACGGUUUUGCUGUCACUUACAGAUGGGCCCGCGGCGCAUUAGUUAGUUGGUGGGGUAACGGCCUACCAAGACGACGAUGCGUAGCCGACCUGAGAGGGUGAUCGGCCACACUGGGACUGAGACACGGCCCAGACUCCUACGGGAGGCAGCAGUAGGGAAUCUUCCGCAAUGGACGAAAGUCUGACGGAGCAACGCCGCGUGAGUGAUGAAGGCCUUCGGGUCGUAAAGCUCUGUUGUUAGGGAAGAACAAGUAUCAGAGUAACUGCUGGUACCUUGACGGUACCUAACCAGAAAGCCACGGCUAACUACGUGCCAGCAGCCGCGGUAAUACGUAGGUGGCAAGCGUUGUCCGGAAUUAUUGGGCGUAAAGCGCGCGCAGGCGGUUCCUUAAGUCUGAUGUGAAAGC
rnacentral:rRNA from 1 species